rnacentral:rRNA from 1 species
GAGAACGGAACAACGAACAACUCUUUUCUGUCCCAAUUAUUUGACCUCUCUCUGUCUCUCCCUCUCUCUCUGCCCCUCUGGAGACUUUUGGUGGGCGGGGUAACCGCUACGCUAUCAGGGGGAGGUGGAGGUGGUGGCGGGCGGGGGGCCGGGGAGCCCCAGCGGCGGCAGCGGCGACGGGGGAGGCAGGAGCGGCCCCGUAGCGCGCGGCGACAGAGGCGGGGCGGGGGCGGCCUUUCGAGCUCAGAACCCGGCCGGCCGGCCGGCAGGCAGGCAGGGGAGACUGACUAACUAACUCUAGGCGCGGGCCUCGGCGCCUUAGCGCGUACUAGAUCGUUACCUCGGCAGCCUAGACUUGUGCGUGGACGGCGGCGCCUUCGCCGACGACCGCCCCGAGGCCUGCCGCCGGCGCCGGAGAGGGACGCUGCGGCGGCCCGGGCUCGGGCGCGGGCUCGGCGGGAACGAGGACGGGCUGCCGGAGCGGCGGGCGGAGGCGCGGUACGGCGGCCGGUCGUGCGUCGUCCUCUAGUAGGUCCGGCGGGUCGCGCGCCGGCUGCGACGGCGGCGGCGGCGCCGGCGGCGGGCCCGCCGACGACAGCUGUUCCGCCGGCACCGGCGGUCCCGAUCCCGACGGCGGUCCCGACGGUACCUCAAGGAGCUGAGGGAGACGUAGCGACCGUGCAGGUCUUUACCCUAGGUCGACGAGUUUGGCUUUAGGUUCUUCUUUGUACACGUCCAGUUCGAGGACAUGUCCGGCGGGAGCAGGUUACCGGCCCGCUAGCUCCCACGUCUUCUCCGACACCCGCCACUACGGUGAGGGUCCGGCGUAGCAGCCGCGUCCCUCUCGCUGCUCCUCCAGCGAGCGUUCGACGUGGCGCACUACUUAUCGAGCGGGGCCUAAAGGAAGUGGCCUGGGUUCUCUGGGGCACCAUAACGGCUACCCUUUCUACCCAAGGUAUCACUACCCCCACCCCCACUACGAACGUUACCAAGGAGCUACGUGUGCGGUUGACUCCAACCAAAGCAAUUGCCUCCUUCGAGACAUCCCUUUAGGCCACUCUCUUGAUAGAUGAGAAGGUUCUAAUCCCGAGGCCUGCUGCUGCCACUUCUCAUAGGAACCUUGUGACGUUUCUCGUCGUCCGUGUAACGACUGUUACCUCUACCUUAGCCUUUGGAUUCGCGACCAGCCUUUCACUUCUAGUUCUCCUUCGUCGACAAAAACUUGGUGGUAAGAUUGCCACUUGUCUCUCUUCUCCUAUUUCUUUGUCUCGUUAGGUCUCUAGGAGGGUAUCCUAUGACGUUGCUCGAGUUCAGGUUGCCGUGUCUUUUCGCUGGACCAAAGCGUCUGCUGCGUUCCCGUCGUCGUGGACCACCGCCGCUACUAGGGCGUGGCUGGUUCUAGUGCAGGCACACCUUCAAGUUCUUCAAGUUUGGCCGCAACAGCAGCGUGACGAGGAGGCUGUCGUUCUACAACACAAGGAGGUCAAGACGCCGACUUUGGAGACGAAGGCACUUCCGACUAAUCACUCUCUCUCAUGUACAUUACCAGGACUAGAGGAGUCCACUGUGUAAUUCGGUCGUCCUGAGUUGUGGUACAAGAC